GAAGGAAGGAACGGAAGGGGCAGGAGGGUAACCGAAGGAGCGAAAGGGGAGAGAGCGGCCUGACCCGGCCGUGCAGAUGUCUUUGCACCAAAGAUCAGAGACUCUGAGUCCUCCCAAGCAAACGCUUUGCAACUGAGACUCAGCAGCACAAAGGAAAUAUGUAUUGUCACACCCCCUCCAAAGUUAAGAUCUUUGAGAUUAAUAAGGAGGCCUUCACCACUGGCCCUCACCAGAUGCCUCCCCUUGGUCUUGGAUAUCUCAGCCUCCAAAACCAUGAGCCAAUA